rnacentral:lncRNA from 1 species
ACCUUUUGAAAAAAAAAUGUCUGCUUACCCCAGAAUGCAGUGCUCAUGGCCUCACCUCUCCUAUCCUUCAAGGUCCACUUAAAGCAAACCACUGCCCAUGAAGCUUUUCCCAGACAGGUAUAUGUAUGAAGAAAAUCAACAUGGCAAUCUGGAGCUAAACCUGUUUCUAAAUCAACUGACUUUUCUUCAAAUUGAGAUGCCAUGAGACAUUUUUAGUUUUCUUCUCUUAUGAAUGGAUAUAUUUACUUUAGACGAAAAUUACUCUUUAUGUUCCCAUGACAUAUGCCUUCCAGAUAAAUUUUAUGGUGAUAUCACAAAGAGCUUUCUUCCUCUUUUUUAAAAAUAUCUGCUUCAACUGCAAACUGAAAUACGUGAAAUGAGCAGCCAUACUGGCUUACAGGAGUCAAACCUCUCCCAGUUACGACUGAAUAUGGGGAAGCUACAGUGCUCCAAAGAUUGAGCUCACGGCUGUGAAAGUAGCUCACAGCUGAUAAAGUGCAAAAGAGAAAUCUACAUGCUACUCCUAGGAACUAGUGAAGGGGAAGAGAAAGAGAAAAGGAGAGAGACCUGUUUGGAAUAAGUGAAAUCUGUCAGCUUUCAAAAGGAAUAUACUUUGGUUUGGUUUGAUCGAAUGGCCCUAUUUACAAGACC